rnacentral:rRNA from 2 species
UUAUAAUAUUUUAGUACGAAAGGACCAAAUAUUAAAAUAAUUAUAUUUUUAAAAUGAAUAUUAUUAAUAUA